rnacentral:rRNA from 1 species
UGGGGAAUAUUGCACAAUGGGGGAAACACUGAUGCAGCGACGCCGCGUGAACGAAGAAGGUAUUCGUAUCGUAAAGUUCUGUCCUAUGGGAAGAUAAUGACAGUACCAUAGAAGAAAGCUCCGGCUAAAUACGUGCCAGCAGCCGCGGUAAUACGUAUGGAGCGAGCGUUGUCCGGAAUUAUUGGGCGUAAAGGGUACGCAGGCGGUUUAAUAAGUCGAAUGUUAAAGAUCGGGGCUCAACCCCGUAAAGCAUUGGAAACUGAUAAACUUGAGUAGUGGAGAGGAAAGUGGAAUUCCUAGUGUAGUGGUGAAAUACGUAGAUAUUAGGAGGAAUACCAGUAGCGAAGGCGACUUUCUGGACACAAACUGACGCUGAGGUACGAAAGCGUGGGGAGCAAACAGG